rnacentral:rRNA from 1 species
GGUUAAGCGACUAAGCGUACACGGUGGAUGCCCUGGCAGUCAGAGGCGAUGAAGGACGUGCUAAUCUGCGAUAAGCGCCGGUAAGGUGAUAUGAACCGUUAUAACCGGCGAUUUCCGAAUGGGGAAACCCAGUGUGAUUCGUCACACUAUCAUUAACUGAAUCCAUAGGUUAAUGAGGCGAACCGGGGGAACUGAAACAUCUAAGUACCCCGAGGAAAAGAAAUCAACCGAGAUUCCCCCAGUAGCGGCGAGCGAACGGGGAGGAGCCCAGAGCCUGAAUCAGCAUGUGUGUUAGUGGAAGCGUCUGGAAAGGCGCGCGAUACAGGGUGACAGCCCCGUACACAAAAGCGCAUGUGCUGUGAGCUCGAUGAGUAGGGCGGGACACGUGGUAUCCUGUCUGAAUAUGGGGGGACCAUCCUCCAAGGCUAAAUACUCCUGACUGACCGAUAGUGAACCAGUACCGUGAGGGAAAGGCGAAAAGAACCCCGGCGAGGGGAGUGAAAAAGAACCUGAAACCGUGUACGUACAAGCAGUGGGAGCACAGGUUUACCUGUGUGACUGCGUACCUUUUGUAUAAUGGGUCAGCGACUUAUAUUCUGUAGCAAGGUUAACCGAAUAGGGGAGCCGCAGGGAAACCGAGUCUUAAUUGGGCGUUAAGUUGCAGGGUAUAGACCCGAAACCCGGUGAUCUAGCCAUGGGCAGGUUGAAGGUUGGGUAACACUAACUGGAGGACCGAACCGACUAAUGUUGAAAAAUUAGCGGAUGACCUGUGGCUGGGGGUGAAAGGCCAAUCAAACCGGGAGAUAGCUGGUUCUCCCCGAAAGCUAUUUAGGUAGCGCCUCGUGAAUUCAUCUCCGGGGGUAGAGCACUGUUUCGGCUAGGGGGCCAUCCCGGCUUACCAACCCGAUGCAAACUGCGAAUACCGGAGAAUGUUAUCACGGGAGACACACGGCGGGUGCUAACGUCCGUCGUGAAGAGGGAAACAACCCAGACCGCCAGCUAAGGUCCCAAAGUCAUGGUUAAGUGGGAAACGAUGUGGGAAGGCCCAGACAGCCAGGAUGUUGGCUUAGAAGCAGCCAUCAUUUAAAGAAAGCGUAAUAGCUCACUGGUCGAGUCGGCCUGCGCGGAAGAUGUAACGGGGCUAAACCAUGCACCGAAGCUGCGGCAGCGACGCUGAUGCGUUGUUGGGUAGGGGAGCGUUCUGUAAGCCUGUGAAGGUGUGUCGUGAGGCAUGCUGGAGGUAUCAGAAGUGCGAAUGCUGACAUAAGUAACGAUAAAGCGGGUGAAAAGCCCGCUCGCCGGAAGACCAAGGGUUCCUGUCCAACGUUAAUCGGGGCAGGGUGAGUCGACCCCUAAGGCGAGGCCGAAAGGCGUAGUCGAUGGGAAACGGGUUAAUAUUCCCGUACUUGGUGUUACUGCGAAGGGGGGACGGAGAAGGCUAUGUUGGCCGGGCGACGGUUGUCCCGGUUUAAGCGUGUAGGUGUGUGUUCCAGGUAAAUCCGGUUCACUUUAACACUGAGGCGUGAUGACGAGGCACUACGGUGCUGAAGCAACAAAUGCCCUGCUUCCAGGAAAAGCCUCUAAGCAUCAGGUAACAUCAAAUCGUACCCCAAACCGACACAGGUGGUCAGGUAGAGAAUACCAAGGCGCUUGAGAGAACUCGGGUGAAGGAACUAGGCAAAAUGGUGCCGUAACUUCGGGAGAAGGCACGCUGACACGUAGGUGAAGUGAUUUACUCACGGAGCUGAAGUCAGUCGAAGAUACCAGCUGGCUGCAACUGUUUAUUAAAAACACAGCACUGUGCAAACACGAAAGUGGACGUAUACGGUGUGACGCCUGCCCGGUGCCGGAAGGUUAAUUGAUGGGGUCAGCGCAAGCGAAGCUCCUGAUCGAAGCCCCGGUAAACGGCGGCCGUAACUAUAACGGUCCUAAGGUAGCGAAAUUCCUUGUCGGGUAAGUUCCGACCUGCACGAAUGGCGUAAUGAUGGCCAGGCUGUCUCCACCCGAGACUCAGUGAAAUUGAACUCGCUGUGAAGAUGCAGUGUACCCGCGGCAAGACGGAAAGACCCCGUGAACCUUUACUAUAGCUUGACACUGAACAUUGAGCCUUGAUGUGUAGGAUAGGUGGGAGGCUUUGAAGUGUGGACGCCAGUCUGCAUGGAGCCGACCUUGAAAUACCACCCUUUAAUGUUUGAUGUUCUAACGUGGACCCGUAAUCCGGGUUGCGGACAGUGUCUGGUGGGUAGUUUGACUGGGGCGGUCUCCUCCUAAAGAGUAACGGAGGAGCACGAAGGUUGGCUAAUCCUGGUCGGACAUCAGGAGGUUAGUGCAAUGGCAUAAGCCAGCUUGACUGCGAGCGUGACGGCGCGAGCAGGUGCGAAAGCAGGUCAUAGUGAUCCGGUGGUUCUGAAUGGAAGGGCCAUCGCUCAACGGAUAAAAGGUACUCCGGGGAUAACAGGCUGAUACCGCCCAAGAGUUCAUAUCGACGGCGGUGUUUGGCACCUCGAUGUCGGCUCAUCACAUCCUGGGGCUGAAGUAGGUCCCAAGGGUAUGGCUGUUCGCCAUUUAAAGUGGUACGCGAGCUGGGUUUAGAACGUCGUGAGACAGUUCGGUCCCUAUCUGCCGUGGGCGCUGGAGAACUGAGGGGGGCUGCUCCUAGUACGAGAGGACCGGAGUGGACGCAUCACUGGUGUUCGGGUUGUCAUGCCAAUGGCAUUGCCCGGUAGCUAAAUGCGGAAGAGAUAAGUGCUGAAAGCAUCUAAGCACGAAACUUGCCCCGAGAUGAGUUCUCCCUGAGACUUUAAGUCUCCUGAAGGAACGUUGAAGACGACGACGUUGAUAGGCCGGGUGUGUAAGCGCAGCGAUGCGUUGAGCUAACCGGUACUAAUGAACCGUGAGGCUUAACCUU